GACGAACGCUGGCGGCAUGCUUAACACAUGCAAGUCGAACGGAGUGGCGAACGGGUGAGUAACACGUGGGUGACCUGCCCUGCACUUCGGGAUAAGCCUGGGAAACUGGGUCUAAUACCGGAUAGUGUGGGAUGGGCGCGGGGCCUAUCGGCUUGUUGGGGGGGUAAUGGCCUACCAAGGCGGCGACGGGUAGCCGGCCUGGGAGGGGGGACGGCCACAUUGGGACUGAGGCAGGGACCAGACUCCUACGGUAGGCAGUAGUGGGGAAUAUUGCACAAUGGGCGGAAGCCUGAUGCAGCGACGCCGCGUGGGGGAUGACGGCCUUCGGGGUGUAAACUCCUUUCACCAUCGACGCGGUAGAUGGAGAAGAAGCACCGGCUAACUACGUGCCAGCAGCCGCGGUAAUUC
rnacentral:rRNA from 1 species